GGAGGGGUGGCUGAGCGGUUGAAAGCACCGGUCUUGAAAACCGGCAAGGGGGUAACCCCUUCCAGGGUUCGAAUCCCUGCCCCUCCG
rnacentral:tRNA from 1 species